GCUGUCUUGAAUGCCUUGGAUAAAAUUGUGGAAGAAGGCAAAGUCCGCAAAGAGCCAGCCUGCAACGGGACACCCUGCGGCGCCAUGUGCAGAAACAGGAGGCCGAGAACCAGCAGCUGGCAGAUGCCGUCCUGGCAGGGCGGAGGCAGGUGGAGGAGCUGCAGCUACAGGUCCAGGCCCAGCAGCAGGCCUGGCAGGCUCUACACAGAGAACAGAGGGAGCUGGUUGCUGUGCUGAGGGAGCCUGAGUGAGGAGACCGCCAGCCCCAGAAGCAGAGGGCAGUCAAGGUCAAGAGCCUGUGGUCCAGCAUGCCUGGCCUGGGCGGGCUACCUCUGAGAACGGCUGAAAUGGUGCCCAGUCCAUCAGCAGUGAUGGAAUUUGCUGGAGGACUAGGCCAGAGCAAGCCUCACUGCCACUGUGCCUUUGGGGCACCCUUGGGGUUGGACAUACACCCCCUUUAGAUUCCUCUGUUUCUUCUACCUGGAUAAUUCUUGGCCAUGUUCUCUCUUCUCUAGGUUCAGGUCAGCUCUGCCCCUCCGCCCCCCUCCUGCUGGUUCCCCAGCCCUUUUCCCUGGCCCUGGCUUGGAGAAUCUGUUUUCAAUCUCCACUGAUUGCCCCCUUGCUGGCCAGCCCAGGGGCCUUUACCAUGUUCUCUCCACAUCCGUAAAUAAACUUCCUUCACUACACUG
rnacentral:lncRNA from 1 species